rnacentral:rRNA from 1 species
UACGGAGGAUGCAAGCGUUAUCCGGAUUUAUUGGGUUUAAAGGGUGCGUAGGCGGCACGCCAAGUCAGCGGUGAAAUUUUCGGGCUCAACCCGGACUGUGCCGUUGAAACUGGCGAGCUAGAGUGCACAAGAGGCAGGCGGAAUGCGUGGUGUAGCGGUGAAAUGCAUAGAUAUCACGCAGAACCCCGAUUGCGAAGGCAGCCUGCUAGGGUGCGACAGACGCUGAGGCACGAAAGCGUGGGUAUCGAACAGG